UAGCCGUAUCGGAAGGUGCGGCUGGAUCACCUCCUUUCUAAGGAAGAAUUAGUAGAAAAUUGAAUGUGUUUUACUGUUGAGUUAUCAAGUAUACAACUUAAUAACCAAAUUUCUG
rnacentral:misc_RNA from 1 species